UACGGAGGGUGCGAGCGUUGUCCGGAAUCCCUGGGCGUAAAGGGCGCGUAGGUGGCUUCUUAAGCGUGCGGUGAAAGCCUGGGGCUCAACCCCGGGUCGGCCGUGCGAACUGGGGGGCUGGAGCACUGUAGAGGCAGGCGGAAUUCCGGGUGUAGCGGUGGAAUGCGUAGAGAUCCGGAAGAACACCGGUGGCGAAGGCGGCCUGCUGGGCAGUUGCUGACACUGAGGCGCGACAGCGUGGGGAGCAAACAGG
rnacentral:rRNA from 1 species